rnacentral:misc_RNA from 1 species
UAAAAGCAAAUCUGUUACUUUUCUCUCCAAAGCCAAAUAUGCUUUUAGAAGGGAAGGUGGUCAAACUUAUGCGAGAAUCGAUUCAUGUUAUCGUCCUUGGUUUUUCAUCUGCUGUUAUAGUAGAUGAAGAUGAAUUUAGAUAUAAAAGUAAACGUGGUGAGGGUAAAUAUGUUAGCAGAGUUCACAAACGACAUACAAUAAAGGUUGGAACCAUCAUACGCUUUUUAGUCAAGAGUUUGGAUGAGGAAAUACUACACAUUUCUGGAUCCUUGAUUCCAGAUCACACUGGAAGUGUUGGUUGGUUGGAUGGAGAUGUGAAAAAUUCUACCACUGAGAGUAACAAGAAGAG